rnacentral:rRNA from 1 species
GACGAACGCUGGCGGCGUGCCUAAUACAUGCAAGUUGAGCGCUGAAGGUUGGUACUUGUACCAACUGGAUGAGCAGCGAACGGGUGAGUAACGCGUGGGGAAUCUGCCUUUGAGCGGGGGACAACAUUUGGAAACGAAUGCUAAUACCGCAUAAAAACUUUAAACACAAGUUUUAAGUUUGAAAGAUGCAGUUGCAUCACUCAAAGAUGAUCCCGCGUUGUAUUAGCUAGUUGGUGAGGUAAAGGCUCACCAAGGCGAUGAUACAUAGCCGACCUGAGAGGGUGAUCGGCCACAGUGGGACUGAGACACGGCCCAAACUCCUACGGGAGGCAGCAGUAGGGAAUCUUCGGCAAUGGACGAAAGUCUGACCGAGCAACGCCGCGUGAGUGAAGAAGGUUUUCGGAUCGUAAAACUCUGUUGGUAGAGAAGAACGUUGGUGAGAGUGGAAAGCUCAUCAAGUGACGGUAACUACCCAGAAAGGGACGGCUAACUACGUG